rnacentral:rRNA from 1 species
CCUACGGGCGGCAGCAGUGAGGAAUAUUGGACAAUGGCCGGAAGGCUGAACCAGCCAUGCCGCGUGAAGGUUAGUGCCCUAUGGGCGUUAAACUGCUUUUGUGCGGGAGCAAUAAUGGUCACGUGUGGCCAGACGAGAGUACCGUACGAAUAAGCAUCGGCUAACUCCGUGCCAGCAGCCGCGGUAAUACUGGUGAUGCAAGCGUUAUCCGGAUUAAUUGGGUUUAAAGGGUGCGUAGGCUGUGGGGUAAGUCAGCGGUGAAAUGCCCCGGCUCAACGGGGUGAAGUGCCAUUGAUACUGCCUUACUGGAAUGCGAAUGCGGUGAGAGGAAUGUGUGGUGUAGCGGUGAAAUGCAUAGAUAUCACACAGAACACCGAUUGCGAAGGCAUCUCACGAAUCCGCGAUUGACGCUGAUGCACGAAAGCGUGGGUAUCAAACAGGAUUAGAUACCCGAGUAGUC